rnacentral:rRNA from 1 species
GACGAACGCUGGCGGCGUGCCUAAUACAUGCAAGUUGAGCGCUGAAGCGUGGUACUUGUACCUACUGGAUGAGCAGCGAACGGGUGAGUAACGCGUGGGGAAUCUGCCUUUGAGCGGGGGACAACAUCGGGAAACGAAUGCUAAUACCGGAUAAUAACUUUAAACACAAGUUUUAAGAUUGAAAGAUGCACUUGCAUCACUCAAAGAUUAUCUCCCUUUGUCUUAGGUAGGUGGUUAGGUAAAGGCUCACCAAAGCGAAGGUACCAAGCCGAACCUAAGGGGUGAACGGCCCCAAUGGGACUUGGACAAGGCCCAAACUCCUACGGGAGGGAGCAGUAAGGGAACUUCGGCAAUGGACGAAAGUCCUACCGAGGAACGCCGCGGGGGGGAAGGAAGUUUUCGGGUCGUAAAACUCUGUUGGUAGGGAAGAACGUUAGUGAGAGUGGAAAGUGCAUAAAGUGACGGUAACUACCCAGAAAGGGACGGCUAACUACGUG